rnacentral:rRNA from 1 species
AACGAAGGGGGCUAGCGUUGUUCGGAAUCACUGGGCGUAAAGCGCACGUAGGCGGCUCUUUAAGUCAGGGGUGAAAUCCCGGGGCUCAACCUCGGAACUGCCUUUGAUACUGGAGAUCUUGAGUCCGGAAGAGGUAAGUGGAACUGCGAGUGUAGAGGUGAAAUUCGUAGAUAUUCGCAAGAACACCAGUGGCGAAGGCGGCUUACUGGUCCGGAACUGACGCUGAGGUGCGAAAGCGUGGGGAGCAAACAGG